GAAAUGCGAUAAUUAAUGUGAAUUGCAGAAUUCAGUGAAUCAUCGAGUCUUUGAACGCACAUUGCACCCCCUGGUAUUCCGGGGGGUAUGCCUGUCCGAGCGUCAUUGCUGCCCUCAAGCCCGGCUUGUGUGUUGGGUCCUCGUCCCCCCCCGGGGGACGGGCCCGAAAGGCAGCGGCGGCACCGCGUCCGGUCCUCGAGCGUAUGGGGCUUUGUCACACCGCUCUCGUAGGCCCGGCCGGCGCUGGCCGACGCUGAAAAGCAACCAUUAUUUCUCCAGGUUGACCUCGGAUCAGGUAGGGAUACCCGCUGAACUUAAGC
rnacentral:misc_RNA from 1 species